GUAGGUGAACCUGCGGAAGGAUCAUUAACACGUAUCCAACGUUAAACAACCCUGUGAACUUUCAGACGCUCUUGUAGCCAGGCGGAACAGCAAUCCCGGUAAAUCAACGACGCCGGAAAGAGUUUUGAUUCGGGACCUCUGUCCAAAAGGUUACAAUAGAAGCUAGGAGCAGUGGCAUGGUUUCCUGAAGCAGUGCCGAAGGAUGCACGGUUGCUAGAGGUCGAUCACCGGCCGGCAGACAUGUCACAGGGCUAUAUGCCCCUUAAUCACCCCUUGCCUAAUCACGCCCCGCGGAAACGCCGGGCACUAAAAACCGAACAACUGUUAACAAUGGAUAUCUUGGUUCUC
rnacentral:misc_RNA from 1 species